rnacentral:rRNA from 1 species
CAACAGUUACUGAACCCUAUCAAACUCCGAAUGCCAUAUACUUGUACCCCGGCAGUCAGACUACGAAUGAUAAGAUCCGUGGUCAAAAGGGAAACAGCCCAGACCAUCAGCUAAGGUCCCAAAGUGUAAGUUAAGUGGGAAAGGAUGUGGGAUUUCUAAGACACCUAGGAUGUUGGCUUAGAAGCAGCCACUCAUUUAAAGAGUGCGUAAUAGCUCACUAGUCGAGAGAUCCUGCGCCGAAGAUGUAACGGGGCUCAAACUUACCACCGAAGCUAUGGAUGUGUACUAUGUACACGUGGUAGAGGAGCUUUCUGUACAGGUUGAAGUCAUACCGUAAGGAGUGGUGGACAGUACAGAAGUGAGAAUGCUGGCAUAAGUAGCGAAAAACAAGUGAGAAUCUUGUUGACCGAAUAUCUAAGGUUUCCUGGGAAAGGCUCGUCCUCCCAGGGUUAGUCGGGACCUAAGCCGAGGCCGAAAGGCGUAGGUGAUGGACAACUGGUUGAUAUUCCAGUACCACCAUAAUGCGUUUGACAAAUGGGAUGACGCAGGAGGAUAGGAUGUGCGCACUAUUGGAUGUGCGUCUAAGCACUUAGGGUGUUAAGUAGGCAAAUCCGCUUAACAUUAAGCCUGAGGUGUGAUGGGGAGCCUAUUUUGGCGAAGUAUCUGAUUCCACGCUGCCAAGAAAAGUCUCUAUGGAGCAAAAUGGUGCCCGUACCGCAAACCGACACAGGUAGAUGAGGAGAGAAUCCUAAGGUCGUCGGAAGAAUUAUUGCUAAGGAACUCGGCAAAUUGACCCCGUAACUUAGGGAGAAGGGGUGCCUACGAGAGUAGG